rnacentral:rRNA from 1 species
AGCGAACGUUUGCGGCGGGCCUAACACAUGCAAGUCGAACGCACUAGCAAUAGUGAGUGGCGCACGGGUGCGUAACACGUGGGUAAUCAACCCUUCAGCUUGGGAUAACGACUUGAAAGGGUCGCUAAUACCGGAUACGGCGCGGGAGGCUUCGGCUUCUCACGAGAAAGCCUCGCAAGGGGCACUGAAGGACGAGCCUGCGGCCCAUCAGCUAGUUGGUGAGGUAAGAGCUCACCAAGGCGAAGACGGGUAGCUGGUCUGAGAGGAUGAUCAGCCACACUGGAACUGAGACACGGUCCAGACUCCUACGGGAGGCAGCAGUGGGGAAUCUUGCGCAAUGGGCGAAAGCCUGACGCAGCAACGCCGCGUGCGGGAUGAAGGCCUCGGUGUAACCGACUUCAGCAGGGAAGGAAACUAGACGGUACCUGCAGAAGAAGCCCCGGCCAACUACGUGCCAGCAGCCG